CAUGGAUACUUGAGUGUUUUGGUGGUUGAUUAUUGUUAUUUAAAAUAUGAAUCAUAGGGACAAAUAGAAUUUGUCUUAUAAAUGUGGAAAUUGUGUGGCAAGAUAUUUUAGACUCUUUAAAAAUAUACCUUCUAGUAACUCUUGUUAAUUAAAUCUAAUGAUAUUUUUAUUCAUAAUUUAGGUAGGUAGAAUAUUUUCAAAAUAUUCCUCACUCAUUUUAUAAUAUAUAUAGAUAACAGCAGCAAUUAAUAAUUUAGUAAUAAAAAAUCAACAGUUCUUUAUUUAAGUCAACGUUUAUAAAACAAGAAAAUAGCAUCUCUAACUAGGCUUAAAAAUUUGAAUUCUAAAAAAAUAUUUGUCUGAAAAGGGUGAGAUAAGCAGACAAUACAACGGUUAUAACGGCCGUUAUUUGAAACCUCUCUCCUCGACCGGUAAUUUCGGGCGCCCGUCUCGUCCUCCAUGCUCCUCUCGUCCCCUUCCACGCCACGACCUCCGCCGCCGGCGCUAGCUCACCGGAGUUCUACCCUCCCCUCCAGGUUCUCUCUCGAGACCCGAGAUGGCACCCCAAAGAGCUCUCGCGUGGCAACGAUCGAAUCCGAUGCUCGUCACCCAAUCCUCUCCCCCGCCCCUCGCGACCAAUCUAGGGCUUCGCCGGAUCCAGAGUUAGGGCUUCUCUCCCUUCUCUUCGUGAUCUCCUUGGUACCCAUUUACCUCUCUUUUCCCUAAUAUACAUCUUUUCGAUGACUCCGACAAGAAAAGAGCUAAAAAUGUGAUUUUCCCCCUUGCUACUGAAUAAAAUGCGUGCUUUUUAUGACAUUGGCUAAUGUUAUUCGAUGAUUUUACGGUCAAUCUUACUUUGCUCUGUUAUAUUACGUUCUGAAGAUCAACUCGACUCAACUAAGUUUUAAUCCCAAACUAGUUGGGGUCGGCAACAUCUCACUAUGUUUCUAAAACGCCUCGAGCUAGCUUCUUUACUACAAUAACUUAACAAAUAGGAAGCAGUGAUUUGGAAAGGGGAAGGAGAAGUUAGACUGAUAAUUGUUUCAUUUGUUAUUGCUGAAGCUGUUGAUGAACUUGGAAUUAGACUGAUAAUGUAGAUUGUGCGAGCAGUUCAGAAUUUGGUGGAAGCUAUUUUCUUUACUUAGUGAUAGAGUAUCAAUGCUUAAGCAGCAGAAGUGUAGUCAUUUCAUUGCAUGUGUUUCUAAUUUAUACAAUCAAUAUCGAUGGGAAGGAGAGGGUGUGAAUAUAGCAUUUGAAAGCUCAAAUAUCUGAAAAAUCUUUAGCCUUAGAAUAACUCUCUAGAUCACUAAGUCACAAAUCCUCAUAUAUCCAUGUUGUACAAUUAGUUUUUAGUUGUCUCGAACUUCUGUGUAUAUCUGACAAAUUCCUUGCUUGUUUUCGGCUCUCUGUUCUUACUUAACUUGAAUUAGUGAGAAAAUUUUCUUGGGAAAAGAAUUGUUUACUGUGCAGGCUAUGGGUUCAUUUUUCUCAUUGGCAUUUAUUUCUCUUCCAGCCCUGAGUGUAAGAAGGCCUUUAGAAAGUUGGCAGCUUCAGUGGAUAAACUGUCCAAAGUAGUAUCAGAAGAACUACCUGGAACCUUGUCUUUGUUAAAGAUGUCUGGUUUGGAGAUUAGUGAUUUUAACUUGCCAAUUGAACAACCUAAGGCAAGGAAGAUCAGGAAAGCAACAUGGAAAGAAAGCUAGAACAAAUAAAUUGAGCUCUCGUGGGGGAAGAAGUAAUCCAAUAAUAAACUGAUCUCCAUACUAGAUUCAAGUGUAUUGGAGUUUGCGAAUACUCUAGGUCUAAAGCUGAAAUUGUGAUCAGGACACAGUGUCAGUGUAGAUUUCAAUCUGAUUUCACAGAUUCCAUGAACACAUUUUGUAUUCUGGAAUAUGGAUUAAUAUCAGACAGGUUUAAUCUGUAGUUUAAA